GCUCCGGUGGCCUAGUGGUUAGAGCGUCCGCCUGGGAUGCGGGAGGUCGUGGAUUGGAUCCCCGGUUGAGUCA